GGAGAUCGGGCACCAUCACUGUCACCCCCACUAACUGUUAGGGUUUGUUCACAUGAUCUGGCUGGCUAGUCUCCUUUUCCAUAUGUGUUCUUCCUGAAGCUGCACACUUAGUCAAGGUGGAUGACCUUUCUUUGCUUAAGUAUAUAUACCUGUAGCUGUGCUCUCCAGGGAGAUGCUCCAAACAAGCUCUUAAGGUCCAAACGCGCACACAUACCAGUAUGCCUAUAGUUAUGGAAGGUAGAGCUCUUGGGAGUGUAAAUAACCUGUUUUACAUUUUCCU
rnacentral:snRNA from 1 species